GAACGCUGGCGGCGUGCCUAAUACAUGCAAGUCGAACGAGUUCUCGUUGAUGAUCGGUGCUUGCACCGAGAUUCAACAUGGAACGAGUGGCGGACGGGUGAGUAACACGUGGGUAACCUGCCCUUAAGUGGGGGAUAACAUUUGGAAACAGAUGCUAAUACCGCAUAGAUCCAAGAACCGCAUGGUUCUUGGCUGAAAGAUGGCGUAAGCUAUCGCUUUUGGAUGGACCCGCGGCGUAUUAGCUAGUUGGUGAGGUAAUGGCUCACCAAGGCGAUGAUACGUAGCCGAACUGAGAGGUUGAUCGGCCACAUUGGGACUGAGACACGGCCCAAACUCCUACGGGAGGCAGCAGUAGGGAAUCUUCCACAAUGGACGCAAGUCUGAUGGAGCAACGCCGCGUGAGUGAAGAAGGCUUUCGGGUCGUAAAACUCUGUUGUUGGAGAAGAAUGGUCGGCAGAGUAACUGUUGUCGGCGUGACGGUAUCCAACCAGAAAGCCACGGCUAACUACGUGCCAGCAGCCGCGGUAAUACGUAGGUGGCAAGCGUUAUCCGGAUUUAUUGGGCGUAAAGCGAGCGCAGGCGGUUUUUUAAGUCUGAUGUGAAAGCCCUCGGCUUAACCGAGGAAGCGCAUCGGAAACUGGGAAACUUGAGUGCAGAAGAGGACAGUGGAACUCCAUGUGUAGCGGUGAAAUGCGUAGAUAUAUGGAAGAACACCAGUGGCGAAGGCGGCUGUCUGGUCUGUAACUGACGCUGAGGCUCGAAAGCAUGGGUAGCGAACAGGAUUAGAUACCCUGGUAGUCCAUGCCGUAAACGAUGAAUGCUAGGUGUUGGAGGGUUUCCGCCCUUCAGUGCCGCAGCUAACGCAUUAAGCAUUCCGCCUGGGGAGUACGACCGCAAGGUUGAAACUCAAAGGAAUUGACGGGGGCCCGCACAAGCGGUGGAGCAUGUGGUUUAAUUCGAAGCAACGCGAAGAACCUUACCAGGUCUUGACAUCUUUUGAUCACCUGAGAGAUCAGGUUUCCCCUUCGGGGGCAAAAUGACAGGUGGUGCAUGGUUGUCGUCAGCUCGUGUCGUGAGAUGUUGGGUUAAGUCCCGCAACGAGCGCAACCCUUAUGACUAGUUGCCAGCAUUUAGUUGGGCACUCUAGUAAGACUGCCGGUGACAAACCGGAGGAAGGUGGGGAUGACGUCAAAUCAUCAUGCCCCUUAUGACCUGGGCUACACACGUGCUACAAUGGAUGGUACAACGAGUUGCGAGACCGCGAGGUCAAGCUAAUCUCUUAAAGCCAUUCUCAGUUCGGACUGUAGGCUGCAACUCGCCUACACGAAGUCGGAAUCGCUAGUAAUCGCGGAUCAGCACGCCGCGGUGAAUACGUUCCCGGGCCUUGUACACACCGCCCGUCACACCAUGAGAGUUUGUAACACCCGAAGCCGGUGGCGUAACCCUUUUAGGGAGCGAGCCGUCUAAGGUGGGACAAAUGAUUAGGG
rnacentral:rRNA from 2 species